rnacentral:rRNA from 1 species
UUUUACAAUGGAGAGUUUGAUCCUGGCUCAGGAUGAACGCUAGCUACAGGCUUAACACAUGCAAGUCGAGGGGAAACGGCAUUAAGUGCUUGCACUUUUUGGACGUCGACCGGCGCACGGGUGAGUAACGCGUAUCCAACCUUCCCAUGACUAAGGGAUAACCUGCCGAAAGGCAGACUAAUACCUUAUGGUCUUCACUGACGGCAUCAGAUGUGAAGUAAAGAUUUAUCGGUUAUGGAUGGGGAUGCGUCUGAUUAGCUUGUUGGCGGGGUAACGGCCCACCAAGGCAACGAUCAGUAGGGGUUCUGAGAGGAAGGUCCCCCACAUUGGAACUGAGACACGGUCCAAACUCCUACGGGAGGCAGCAGUGAGGAAUAUUGGUCAAUGGGCGAGAGCCUGAACCAGCCAAGUAGCGUGCAGGAUGACGGCCCUAUGGGUUGUAAACUGCUUUUGUAUGGGGAUAAAGUCAAUCACGUGUGAUUGUUUGCAGGUACCAUACGAAUAAGGACCGGCUAAUUCCGUGCCAGCAGCCGCGGUAAUACGGAAGGUCCGGGCGUUAUCCGGAUUUAUUGGGUUUAAAGGGAGCGUAGGCUGGAGAUUAAGUGUGUUGUGAAAUGUAGACGCUCAACGUCUGACUUGCAGCGCAUACUGGUUUCCUUGAGUACGCACAACGUUGGCGGAAUUCGUCGUGUAGCGGUGAAAUGCUUAGAUAUGACGAAGAACUCCGAUUGCGAAGGCAGCUGACGGGAGCGCAACUGACGCUGAAGCUCGAAGGUGCGGGUAUCGAACAGGAUUAGAUACCCUGGUAGUCCGCACAGUAAACGAUGGAUGCCCGCUGUUGGUACCUGGUAUCAGCGGCUAAGCGAAAGCAUUAAGCAUCCCACCUGGGGAGUACGCCGGCAACGGUGAAACUCAAAGGAAUUGACGGGGGCCCGCACAAGCGGAGGAACAUGUGGUUUAAUUCGAUGAUACGCGAGGAACCUUACCCGGGCUUGAAUUGCAGAGGAAGGAUUUAGAGAUAAUGACGCCCUUCGGGGUCUCUGUGAAGGUGCUGCAUGGUUGUCGUCAGCUCGUGCCGUGAGGUGUCGGCUUAAGUGCCAUAACGAGCGCAACCCCUGUCUUUAGUUGCCAUCAGGUGAUGCUGGGCACUCUGGAGAUACUGCCACCGUAAGGUGUGAGGAAGGU